rnacentral:rRNA from 1 species
AAUAAGCGGAGGAAAAAGAAACCAACAGGGAUUGCCCCAGUAACGGCGAGUGAAGCGGCAAGAGCUCAAAUUUGAAAGCUGGCUCCUUCGGGGUCCGCAUUGUAAUUUGCAGAGGAUGCUUCGGGAGCGGUCCCCAUCUAAGUGCCCUGGAACGGGACGUCAUAGAGGGUGAGAAUCCCGUAUGGGAUGGGGUGUCCGCGCCCGUGUGAAGCUCCUUCGACGAGUCGAGUUGUUUGGGAAUGCAGCUCUAAAUGGGUGGUAAAUUUCAUCUAAAGCUAAAUAUUGGCCGGAGACCGAUAGCGCACAAGUAGAGUGAUCGAAAGAUGAAAAGCACUUUGAAAAGAGAGUUAAAAAGCACGUGAAAUUGUUGAAAGGGAAGCGCUUGCGACCAGACUCGCUCGCGGGGUUCAGCCGGCAUUCGUGCCGGUGUAUUUCCCCGCGGGCGGGCCAGCGUCGGUUUGGGCGGUCGGUCAAAGGCCCUCGGAAGGUAACGC